rnacentral:lncRNA from 1 species
GAUAAGCGUUUGAAAGAUGGUGUUUUUACUGUCGAUGGGGAUGAGACAGUGCCUGCUUUAAGUGCAGGUUACAUGUGUGCAAAAGGGUGGCGGGGGAAAACUAGAUUCAAUCCUUCAGGAAUCAAAACUUAUGUAAGGGAGUAUGAUCAUGCUCCACCGUCUAAUCUUCUUCUGGAGGGUCGUGGCACCGAGAGUGGUGCGCAUGUUGACAUAAUGGGUAAUUUUGCUCUUAUCGAGGACAUUAUCAGGGUUGCUGCCGGGGCUACCGGCGAGGAGUUGGGAGGUGAUCAGGUGUACUCAGACAUCUUCAAGUGGUCUGAGAAAAUUAAACUACCUCUAUAAGAUGACAUAUAUAUGAAUGCAGGCGAAGACAAAUUUAAAUGCCCUUAGCAUCUGUGGUUGUGAUUUUACACUGGAAUUCAUGCAGCGGUCUUUCUGGAAGUGGUCUGAUUUUACAGUUUUUGUGGUAAUCCAAAUUUCUUUCUCCCAAUUUGUAUGCCCAAGAUACUUUUUCAUUCACAGCUUCACACAAAUAUUCAAAAUGUUAUGCAACAUUCAUUUAUGGGGUCCUUCUUAAUCUUGAGUCGUUUGAAAAAAUUAGUUUGAUAUAAAUUUAAUCCCUCGGCAUUUACUUAAGUGUGUACAGAUUCAAAAUAUUAGCAUUUAGCAUGCCUUUUGCCAAAAAAAAAAUUCCCUAUCAAGUAGUUAGGUAAUAAAAUUUAGCGAUUAGACAUAAAGAACGGUUUAAGAGUCUUUUAGAGCGCGGCACCAGUUAAAUUCAACUCGUAGUACUAGUACCACAUUGGUGGUGGUAUGGGGCAAAUAAGCUGAAAAAAUCCCAGUGUUGGGCAAGAAAAUGUAAAUUUGAAAACUUAAAGAAUGAUUCACGUAAUUUUCAUAAACUCAAGGGAGGCAUGUGAAAUUAUCCUGAGAUAAAACAAAAUUCGACCGUUUUUAAGAAUUAUUUUCUCCAGAGUAGAAUAGCAACCCACACCAAGCAAUAAAUAAGUAAAUAACAGAUGCCUGUUUGCAAAUUCAAUUGAACCAAUCUUAGGUUUAAAUUAUUAUUAUUAUUUUUUUGGCUUCUCCACUUUUUAAAGUCCACCUUUCUUUGUUUAAUUAAUAAAUACAUAUAAAUUUAAGUGAACCCAUUUGGAUCGCAAUGAUCUUCUCAAUUCGACGACUAAGCAGAAUGCCGCAUCAUUUGGCUGGGGGAGGGGGGGGGGGGUUAGUGUGGUAAAGAAAGGAGGGAAUUGUGAGCGGAAAAUCUUACAAAAGAAAAUUUUGUUUUUUUGUUUUUUUUUGGUUUCGGGUCCUUAGUUUAGGAUGUACCGUGUACCCGAACCCGAAACUCAAAUUGAAUUCAAUUGAAUCCAGCCUGACAGACCCAUUUAAUUCCAUCUUCGAUUACCAGAAUUUGGAGUUGGGAGUUUAUUUUAUCAUUAUUAUUAGCACAGAAUAGUAAUUGAAGAGGAGAGUGGCGUCUUCGUUAUUGCGGGUCGCCUUGUCUCUGAUCAAACCCUUCUCCAUCUCUUCGACUUCUCUUCUUCUUCUUCUUCUUAUUGUUUAUUAUUAUAAUCCCAAUCGACCAGAUCGGACCUUUUUCCUGUUUCCUCCGCCGAGUAAGCAUCCUUGUCUCCCUCUCUCUGUCUACACGCACCCGCAAACACAUGCACAAAAAGUGUAAAGCUGCUCCGUAGAUCAUAGGGUUUUAGGGCAUUUAUUAGUAACCAGAAUUCUCCCUAGGGUUUUGAAAUUCUUGCUGCUGUAAUAAUUUUUUUUUUAAUUUUCUCGUACCAUUAUGUAUUUAAUGUUGUGAAUUCAUGAUUGCCUGAUGUUGUUUCAUGUUUAGAUACUUCUUCAUAACAUGUCUGGUGCUUUUCUUAAUUUUGCGGCGGUGAAGUUACAUCCUAUGCUUAGAUUUUUUUUGUUUUUUUAGUCUUGAUUUUUUGUGACAUUGCUCUGUCCUUUAGAUAACUGAAAGUUGUUAUCUGGUAUGGAGUAAUUUUUUUUUUUUUUUUUUGUGGGGAUUGAUACAAGUUGUGGGAGCUUGUCAGGAAGUUUGAUAAUGGAAAGAAGCGAUCGUGAUUUGGAAUAGCCAGAGAAAAAAUGUACAGCGGUUUGAGAGGUUUGAGUGAUUAGAGUUGGUCUUUUUACUUGGUUGUUUGUAAUUGCCUGUUUUAAUGAGCAUUUCCUUUCAAAAGAAGUUGGUGGGGGCACAUUUUGUUAUACUGCUGUUGUUAUGUUGGACCUGUGCAAUUGGGCGUAAAGUGGUUUUUGGCUAUUGUGAUGUCUAGACUGCAACUGAUAUGCUCAUCCUAUACGUACAUGUAUUAUGUUUAUGCUUGAGCCUUAGAGAACUUAGUCCUUGUGCCUUAAAAGAGCCUAACCUUUUGUUCAUAAAUCAGCAUCAUAGACAUGGAUGUAUUCAAGAUUGAAAGGGGUAGCAGUAUUUCUUGCAAUAGUUGCAUCAUAAGGUUGAACUAAUAGGAAAUGAGCUUAUUAAGUGGAUAACAAUGUAUGACGGUGCUACGCUUGCUUAUGAUGAUCCCUUUUUCGACCUUGCCUAAAAGCAUGGAGAAAAAUGAUUGCUUAAUUGAUGUCAUGUCUAAAAGCUGCUAAGUAACUACUGUCAAACGGAAAUGUGAGCCAGGCGGAAUAUUGUUCGAGUUCAGUAUACUGGUCUGAUAAAUAUCCUUUUUGGCUUCCCACCACCUUGCAAACUUACUACACGAGGAAUUGUAUAAUUUGUCCUUAAGAUUAGCUAAAGUGACCUUCUUUUUACAAUAAUAAGUCGUCUAUUCAUGAUAUUUUUCUAAUUUGCAGCACAAUCACUGAAUCUAAGUUAAGGGCCUACUGAUCAUCCUGCACUUGUUAGAGGACAUUUCUUCAGAAUGAGUUUGCAGCAAGCUGUUCAGCCUCGGUCUGCUGCUAAUGGUUUUGGCCGUCGUAGAACUGAGAAAGAUGGUGGCCCUAGAUUAGAUAGUAAGUUGCAGACUGUGAAAGCAAAUUCAAGUCGCUCAAGUAGUGUAGGUGAGAAUGCUAAUUUAAAUUUGUGUAGAUAUGCUUUUUCUCCUUUUUUAGCUGUUAGCGUCAGUUGUUUCAGGCAAAGAGGGAGGAUAUGCAAGCCCUUCACGGGAACGUCUAGUUUAUGUGACUACUUGUCUUGUUGGGCAUCAAGUAGAAGUCCAGGUGGUGGAUGGCUCAGCUUUUUCUGGAAUACUUCAUGCGACGAAUGCUGAGAAAGAUUUCGGUACACUCCCAGAAUUAUUAAAUUGCUUUUUAGAGUUCCACUUUUUGGUUUUAUAGUGCUUACUUGAUUAUGCUGCUUGCUCCAUCUUGCAUAGGGAUUGUUCUGAAAAUGGCUCGUUUAGUUAGAGAUGGCUCAAGAGGGCAAAAGAACAUGACAGAUUCUAUUAACAAGCCACCUUCAAAGACUUUGAUCAUACCAGCCAAAGAGCUUGUGCAAGUUAUAGCAAAGGUUUUCUUCAUUUAUUUGCUCUUUUGUUUUCAAUAACUACUGUGUCAUCUUCCUGGGUGAUAACUCUUUCAUUAAUUAGAAAUAGCAGCAAGUAUAAAAAUACAAUGCGCUUUCCAGUUGUUCUGGAUUUCUGGGUGACAACUGACUUGUUAGCUUUAUCCCUGCAUGGUUGAUAUCUCUCGUCCCAGCUCCUACGAUCUACUGACCUUCACCGGUCUUGUUGGUAACAGGGAGUCCCUGUGACUAGGGAUGGAUUGGGAAAUGAGCUCCAACGUGACAAGCAUCAGGAGAUUCUGAUAGAUUCGUUCAUAUCACAAUCACGGCGUGCUGAAAUGGAUAGGGAAUUGGAACGCUGGGUCCCUGAAGAUGAUGAUCCUGUCUGUCCAGAAUUGGAGAACAUAUUUGAUGGUCACUGGGAUAGGUUGUUGAAUGACUUAAUUCUUUGUUUUCCUAUAGUUUCGAACUAUCCUCCCCUUUCCCAAAACGGAAAAAAGUUUUGUCAUCUAUCAUGGUUUGCAUUGAAUCCAACAUCAGUUGGAUGAAAUCACGCAGUUAGAACGAUUAAUUUUGGGCGGUUGGAAUGGGACUAGGAUAAACUAAUAGUAAAGGUUUCACUUUUGCUUCAUAGUGAAUUGUACAAGGGUGCCCAUUUACAUCUUCUGUUUGGAUGACUGCGACAUUGUUAUUGAUUAAGUUAUGUUUGAUGAAUUGUUACAGUUUGUUUGAAAUAUGCUCUUUAUUUUUAAAACGAAUAGUUGACUACAAGACAUUCUGACAUCCAUUUUCAACUUCUUUCCUUCUACAUAGCCUGAUCCAACUCCAAGUUUGUUCUUUUUAGGGGCUGGGAUCAAUUUCAAGCAAAUGAAACUUUAUUUGGAGUGAAAAGCACUUUCAAUGAGGAACUUUACACAACAAAACUUGAAAAGGGUCCACAGAUGAAAGAGUUAGAAAGGGAAGCUUUAAGAAUAGCUAGAGAAAUAGAGGGAGAAGACACCCAUGAUCUCCAUUUAGCAGAGGUGGGAAUAUUCUUUCUUGAUAUUUUGUCUUUUCUUUCUGACUAGUCCAUUUCUUGCUCUCUUCCAUCUAAAACAUGUUUUCCUAAUAGGAAAGAGGAUUACAACUGCAUGAAAAAUUUGAAGUUGACGAAGAAACCAAAUUCUCAUCAGUUUUUAGAGUGGUUGACGACAGUGGAUGUGAUGACAUUUUGUUGGAUACUCACAAUAAUGAAACAUUUGGAGGUGGCUAUGUUUCUGGAAUUGGGAAGUCAUUUGUUGACUUGGCUAGUGUAAAUUCUAGUAAUGGAGCUCAACUAUCCACAAGAUCUUCACCUUUGGUAGGUGUCCAGUUGUUAACAUUUCUCUCUUAUUUGGAGCCUCUCUUACACUUGCUUCAUAUUUGGAGGCUAUCUUCACCUUUGUUUUACUUUUUGGAAUCUUUUUUUUUUUUUAAUAAAACUUCAGGAGUUUUGUGCAUUAACGGAUAGCUGUGGCCUUGAUUGUUGAAACAUUCUUUAAAUAUCUUGGAGGUGCAUUGUAAUGCAUAGUUUGGGAUGCGCUGUGAAAUUAUAUUAGUAAAUUGGAAAGCUAAUUUGUUGUCCUAUUAUUGCCUUUUAGUACCUAUUUUUUUUCCUUGUUUUUGUUUUCAAACCUGUACUCAAAAAUAUGCGUUUGGAUGGUGUGGUUUUUGGGAGUUUGUCUUACUGUAGUUUACUGUAAAAUUUUUACAAAAACUUGUGUGUAUUUGUUGGGGAGUGGUUGAAAAACUUUCCUAUUUUUCUUUUACUUCUCUUUUUUUCUUUUUCUUUUUUUUGUUCUUUCUUUCCUCUCCUGCCCCUCCCUGCCACCCGCCUUUCCUCUCUCCGAUCGUCCCCCCCCCCUCCUUUCUCUUUCCCUCUGUCUCCUUAUCCCUGUUUCCCUCCCUCCCUCCCUCCCUUCCUUCCUCCAUGUCCUCCUUCACCUGCCACCCCCUCUCCCUUCACUCUGCCCCCCUCUGUGCUGGUUGCGUGACCAGAGCAAAAAGAGGGGGAGGCGGCAGUGGAUGUGGUGGCAGGCUGUGGUGGGCUGAGGUGGGGGUGGCAGCAGUGGAAGUGAAAAUGGUUAGGGAGGGUGUGGUAGAAGAGGGAAAUGGGUGUGUUUUUUGGGUAUUUUGGGGGGGGGGGUGUUUUGUUAAACUUAGGGUGUUUUUACAAGUUGCUGUAGCUAAAGUUGGAAAAAAAAUUGUCUUUGGAUUAGCUGUUUUUGGGGGUGUUUUUGAAAAAAUUUACUGUAGCAGAGUUUUUAGAGUAUAUUUUGGAAUAUUUUUAGAAAAUAUUUUGGAAUAUUUAAGAGUAGUAGAGUUUUUAAAAUAUAUUUUGGAAUAUUUUUUAAAUAUUGAAAAAAAUUUAGAUUACUUUUUAGAGUACCUUUUACAGUACUUUUGAAAAAUUUUUUAGUAUUUGAAAAACUAGUUUUUGAAAAAUUUUUUAGUAUUUGAAAAACUAGUUUUUGAAAAAAUGAAGGAUCCAAACAGUGAUAUUUUUCUGGUUUGUUUUGUCGACUCUCCAGGAGGAAGCACACUCAGCUCAGUCAAGUACCAGUAGGGAAGUACAUCAAUCUGGUUCGGAUGAUCAUUUUAGACAGUUAUCAGCUGGACAUUUGUCUAAAGAUUCUUUAAAUGUCGGAGAUAGCAGGUCUCUGUCAUGUCUGAUGCCUAACCAUUUAGUGUUAUACUGUGGUUGAUAUAGUUACAGACUUUUCUAAAUAAUAUGAAGUUUGAAUUGAGAGUACUUUAUUUCAGGGCUUACGAGAACCAGUUUGCUGACCAUGAUGCAGGAAAUGAAAUGGUAAAUGUUUACUCUCAAAUGCUUAGGAAAUCAAUGUUCACCAUUGCUUCAUGUAAUAUCCUUAUGAUGUUGCUGCGGAAUACUUGUUUACAAACACAAUCCUGUCUACUUACAUGCAGGUGCCUGAGGAGGCUCAAAGUUCAAAACCUGAGGGUGAGUGGACCUUUGUUUCUCCAAAAUUAUCUGGGGAUGGUAAAGCUUUGUAGUCCAGAUAUAUAAUUUCCUGGAAUUUGAUUGCUGUUUAGGAGAAAGGUUCUAGCAGCUAGUUUUACCUUUAUUUCUCAACUUUUAUUUCAUUAUCAUGUUCACUUGGAUGCAAAAUUCUUCUUGCAUCAGGAGUGUUACUAUAUGGAGGAUCUUACAAGAGGUAAAUAGGGUAGGUAAAUCCUGCUGAGUUUUAAUAAAAGAGGAACAAGAAGGAAAAUUUUAUGCUCUGUUGUUUCUUCCGGUAUUUUACAGUCUAGAAAAACCAAUCUAGUCUAUGGAGCAUGGGGUUUUUACCUUGGUGUUACUUGUAGGUUUACUACUUAGUCUGCCAGCUGGCAUAAGUAAUUGUAGAGGUUUGUAGGCAGCACGGAUAUGGAUGCUAAUUUUGGUUAACCAUUUUUGGUAGGUUUUCCUGUUGAGGGCUUGAUGCUAGAACUAGAACGAAGAAAAAGAAGUCUGAACUGGUAAAUGAUUUGCAGUAGUAGUUUUAGACCUAGUUUGUGAGUUUAAUAGAGGAAACAAAAGAAAAGAAAAGAAAACAUAAAUUAGGAAAGAAGAUAAGGGAAGGGAAAGGGUCAUGUUUGGGAGUUGUAGAAGAGAAAAGAUCAUUAUUGUGUUGGACUUUGCCCAUUCACCAUCAAACUUCAAAGUUUUUGGUGUUUUUGAUGGGUGUAUGUUAUACAGCAAAACCUUUUAAUGAAGCAAGCCAAUUUUGUCCUACUUAUCUCCACUUCUGGAGAGAGUUUCCUACGUUUUCUUCACCCCAUUUCUCUCCACAUUCUCUUUUUUUUUUUUUUCAACCUGAAACUCUGAAACAAGAGAAAGCCUCAAAUUUCCUGUAUCUCAUAAAUUAUGUUCAACCUUGAGAACAUAAAAUUGCAGAUGGAUCACAAUUUUCAUGAAGGGGUAGUAUGAGUUUUUCCAGAAUUUAAGCAGGAGCAAGUGUAAUGUUGUUUUUGUUAUCUUGGAAGUCCUUUCCUAGGGCUUUUUGGUGUUGUGGUAUUUUAACACAUUGACCUUGUUUCCCAGUUCACUCUUUGGUCUACAUUGGCAAAAUUGCAUACUGCAGCUUUAACGUUGAAACUGGAUACUUCUGAACAUCACAUAUUUUUUUCAUUUUUUAAUCAUCAGACUGCCUUACCCUAGUAGCUUUUUGCAAUGGAGAUUGGUUUUAUCUGUGUUGGGAGUUUGUUAACAUAUGAUUGAAACGUUGCACUAUAUCAUGUGUGGACAUCUAGCGAGGAAUAAUAAAAUCUAAUAUUUGAAUGCUUUUGACGGACAAUACCAUGCAUCUUUUCUCCUCAUUGAAAAGGGGGCUUUUCUACAUCCCUUGUUCUUCCAUGAACAGUAAAAAGGUCCAUAUAUUGUGGCUGCUCUAAACUUAUCUUGAUCAUUUGAUGUGAUUCCUGAACUUGGUGACUAAAUCUAGCUGAUCAUCAUUCCCCUGUGAAGUGUAUGGCUAGUUGGAAUAGGAUCUUGCCUGUUCCCAAACUCCGGAAGAUGAUCUCUCCAUCUUUUUUUUUUAAAUUUUCCCCACUUUUUUGUUAGAGAGAAGGGGAAGUUUAAUGGGUUGCUGUAACCUACUAAAAGGCAAAACCUGAGUUCUUCUUUCUUUUUUGAUUACCUUCCUCGCGUAUGUAUAAGACCGAAUCCAUUCGAUUUCUAAAUUUCUAAAAAGGAUUACUAAUCCUUAACUUUUCAAGGAAUCCUUAACUUUUCUUCAGGGUAGACUUCUUUGAAAGUUCAUUUCCUUGGAAGCCAUGUCUUCGAAUGCUUCUUUUGUCCUUUUUGUGUGUGUGUGUGUGUGUUUGAACACUAGGAGAUUUGUUGUUUUGCAGACUCACGGUCAUCACAAAGGUCAAAAUUAGAAAGCAGUGAUAAAGGUGGCUUAUCUGCAAAUGCCACUGCAUAUGCUCCAUCACGUGUAUCAUCUAAAAAUCAGGAAAAGGCAAGUUCUAAUGAACUCUCAGAUGUUAUUAGUUCUUCGAUGGCACAUGGCACGGUACAAUCUGUCAGCUCUCGGGUACGUCCUAGCAGUUCUGCCUCAUCCAGUUCAGACUGUGGAGGUGGUGCGUCUGCUUCUGGUGGUCCUGGAUUAUCUCCCAGCUCAUCAAUGGGUUCACUGUCCUCUGAAAAAUCAACACUGAACCCUCAUGCUAAGGUAGUAAUGCUCUAUCUUUCUAAUUUUCCCUGAUAUUUUUGCAGCACAUAUUGUUUCUGUCUUUCUGUUUCCUCUCUUUGUUAGUAUAUUUUAACUUUGUUCCUUAAAUCCAUUUCUUAUCUCAGGAAUUCAAACUAAAUCCGAAUGCAAAGAGUUUCAUACCUUCUCAGACGCCAUUGAGACCUCCAUCUCCGGUAUCUGAUGGUUCAUUUUAUUAUCCAACUAGUAUGGCUGCUAUACCGAACAUGCAUGGCAUGCCUGUUGGCAUAGGGGUCAGUGUCUUGUCUUUCUUGAUACGAAUUAUGAUUUUUGUAUUUGACUUAGUAGCAUUUUUUUCGUUAAGAUAUCCUUAAGAUGCUUACCUUAUGCCAUUUUCAGUGAUUGCUCCAUUUAUUACUACUUUAUGGCAUGGCCUCGGACUCAUAAGCCUGGUUUAUUGCAUUGGUUAUUUUGUUUUAUGUGCAUAGGUGGUCUGAAUUUUCCUCCUUGUGUUUUAUCCUCAGACUAGUUUUUGAUUGGGUUGAGAAUGAUAGUCAUGUUUUUUAUCCUUGGAAAUUUCACAAUCUUGCAGAUUGGCCCCACAUUUACUUCACACCAGCCUGUUAUAUUCAAUCCACAGGCUGCUCCAACACCGCAACCGUAUUUUCAUCCAGGUGGACCUCAGGUGCAGUUUUGUGGUGAUAUUCCAAUACAUAAUGUACUUUCACUGUUUAAUGGUUAGUAAAAUGAUUUUUGUAUUGUCUAUUAUCCUUGCAGUACGGACGACAAAUGAUGAUUAGUCAUCCUCAGCAAGUCGUGUACAUGCCAACAACUUAUAACCCUGUAUGAAUGUUCUCAAUUUAUCUGUUCUUUAGAAGAAUCAAUUCUUCAAUAACAAUAGUUUAUUAUUGCUAUAGUAGGAGAGGUAUUUUCUUUGGUGUGUGCUGUUUACUACUGUGCUUAUUGAGCGCUUGAUCUGAAUCUAGUGUCAAAUUUGUGUCACAAGACCCCUUGGUUCAUGACGUCCUUAUCAUGUUUUUGCUGCGGUUAGUGAGGUGAGGUGCAAAGUUUGUGCAAUAACCCAGAGUCAUAUUUUGCUGUUGCAAUACAGCAUCAGAUUGGUGUUUUGGAUAUUUGAUCACUCUCUCUGUUUUUGACUUUUGGAUAUUUGAUGAUAUUCUUCUCUGUAUUUUUUGAAUUUUGGAUAGACAAGAUCAAGCAACUCAUGUUACUUAAUGGUCUGCAUUUUACAGGAAAUGCCGUACAAAGGAAGAGAGUUUUAGCUUUUUGGUUGAAAAUUUGUUUGAAGUUGUUCAUCCAUCUGAUGAUAGGGAAUAAAUUUCUGACACCAGUCUGCUUGGAACUGAACUUUUUUGGAAAAUGAGCCCGGCAGCUGACAAAAAGAUCCAGUAGCCUAUAAAAGCACAUUACUGAGCAAGGAAAUAGUAGUAUUAGUUUCGAGGAUGUAAUGCAGUCUUGUAUGACUUUGUCCUUUUACAGUGUCUGAAAGUCGUGUUCUUUGACCCUUUGUUUUCCUCUGUUUUGGCUAGGUGCUUUUUCUGACAAAUUUUACUGUCUUCUUUGUUUCUUGGCUGAGACUUUGGCAUUGUAUUACGUUGUCAUUUUUUUUUCUCCCGCCUUUCAAUCUAUACAAUGUCAUGACUGUGGUAGAUAGGGAAUUGAUGAUCGUGGAAGCAUUUUUUCUGUUGCUCGGUGGGGAAUUUUGCUGGUUGAUUGAUUGCCAAUACAACAGUUGAGGGUGAAGUGUAGUCCAGUGAUAGUUGCUCGUUCUAAAACUAGAUUUUGAUUCUGUUCAUAUUUUUCUUUCGGCCUUCCCCUUUGGAAAAAAAAAAAAAAAGAAUAAAAAGGGACUGUAACAGAGCACGCUCGACACAGGCAGCCUGCUUUUACAUCACUAGCUCUUGAAAUUAAACUUCGUAAAUGGAUGACACCAGAAUAUGAAUGAUCUAAAGAAUAAACUGAGUUUGUUCUAACUCUUCUUCCCGUGCAACUAAAGGUUGUGCGUGCAUUCUGAAGAUUCUUAACCAAUAUUAUUGGUGAAUCUCUUUUUUUUUUUUUUUUUUUUAAUAGGUAUAAGAAUCUAAUUAGAUCAAAGAGGUGCUAUGAGUCUUUUGCAUCUUAUUUGGAUUUUUUCCACCGUAAGUGGAGUUCGAACCCUCAAUUUAUAGUUUAAUAAAGAAGGGUUUAGUCCAGUUUUGGUGGUCUCACUCAAUGGUUCUAUUGGUGGAUCUCGCAUUUACGUUUGACCAUAAUUGAGAAUUAAAAUUGCAGUCACACACCUAACGUCGCAUUUUCAGGUUAAUGAAUUGAUACUACUUUAGAGCAGAAAAGGGGAGUAUAAAGUUCCUACUUUAUACGUACAUAUAUCUUUAUAAAUGGGGCGGAGAGCCCACGAAUCAAUUUAUGGCUUGAGAAUGGGCCACGUAUAAAUAUAGCUGCCGUCUAUACGAGGUUUUGGUUGGCGCAACUUGGACGCAUACAAAGAUUGACAGCACAGCACAGCACCCUUCCAAAGUGAUUGUCGAUUAGCGGGAACCGUUAAGCUCUCUUUCCUUGAUAAAAAAUUAUUUGAGGCUCCAACGCUGUUCUAACUUUGUACGUAUCCAAUGAUUGAUGACCACAGUGCAGACAACCUCGGAGAAAUUAAUUGCGACGGCCUCCAUCUCCAUCUCCAUCACACAGAUUCCAGUUGUUAGGGCCGUAAAAACUUCGCAGUAUUAGCAGUAUUACAACUGAAUUCACUUGUUGUUUGUCCAUCAAACUGACGACAAGGAAAAUUAACGCUGCUUUAGAAGUUAAAAGCUACUCCUAUAAAAGAUCUGGCGGUUGUCGCGAUUUAGCAGCGGCAGUUUCUAAUUCUGCUUCUCUAUUAGCACGAAACACGCUGCAAGCGAAAAGUAGCAGUCAAUAUCAUAUACUAGUAUCAAGUUUCGACAAACCAAGAAACAAUUGAGUGGAUGAACGAGGAGAAAAAUUAACGAGUUCAUCAACAUUAUCCCCCGGGGUCCCAUCAUCUCUGCUACGGUCUUCCCCUUUUUAAAUAUUCCUGUGCCUCUCUAAAUAAUUGUUUGUAAUUUUGGACUAUUUUGCUUGUACAUAUGUUUCGCCAGGUAUGAUAUGAUGCCUGAAAUUAACCCGUUUAUUUACAUUAGCUUUGAUUAUGAAUGAAUCUGUAUGUUCGAGUCGUUGCAUUGCAUGCAGAUUGUAACGUCGUCUGACCUAGUUUGCUUUCAUGUCUUUUCGCAGUCCGUAAAAACUUUUGUCGCUGAUCGAUCCGUAGAAAUGCGGCGGAUAGCAAAAUUGAAAGCACUGCUGUGCUGUUAUCGAAUCAGGGAGGGACUCCAAUUUCCAGCAGUUUUGUUUAAUCCAUUAGCAACAACGGAAUGGAGUAUGUUGCUUGUUGUUCGCUGAUGCAUUUACAAGGACCAAAACAUACAUGCUGCCUGCCUGUGAAUAUGCAGCUAGAGUAAGUACAUCCAUUCUCAAGGCAUGAAUAUGCAGCUAGAGUAAGUAACACAACACGAUGAGUACAGCAAUUAGGUAGCUAAAUAUGCAAGUAAAAGCGUUCCAAGCUUAGCUAGGGACAAGAAGAUACAUACAUGCUGCCUGUGACUGAUAUAUGUAUGUAUAACAAAUACAUCUCCCAAUAGAUAAUUGUAUACUUUUAAAUAUGAAAGCUAUUAAUGGUAAAAUUGUAACUAAUCACCACCUUAGAUACGUUCAUGGGGUCCUACGAUCGAGCGAGAAUGCAUGUUAUAUAUGAUGCAUAUUAUAUAGAAUUCAAAGGAUAAAUUGUAAAAAAAAAAAAAGAAUUACCAAAUUCACACUUUCAUAUUAAAGUUAUGGUAAUACCAAUCGUACAAAUGAAUGAAGGUGUAGAUUAAGGCUGAAAGGAUGUGAUGAUUUCAAUUCAGUGACAGAAGAACUUGAUCAUAUCUCUUCUGGCCAUGGCCGUUGUGGGGUCCAAGAAGGAAAGUUGAAGCAAAACAAAUUCCGACACUGAUUGGAUGGGAUAUUAUUUGAAAUAAUUACUAUAAUACAUUUUAAUUUAUGAUGUGACGAGAAUAUAAUAAAAUAAUAUUUGUAAUACAAGUAAAUAAUUUUCUUACUAAUAAAACACCACGUGUGCGCUUAAUAUGCAGGAAGUAUUGGUAUUUAGUAGUACUCAAUCCCGUGACCCCAGAGAGAUGGAAGCAACCAUUCACGAAGGUUCAUAGCUAAGAUUUGACUUAAAAAAUAUAUAUAUAAAGUUCAGAUUGUAUCUUGUACAUCAUUUUUUCACAUCACGUCUGGAGUUCAUAAAAUUUUGCUCUAUAAUUACAUACUAUUGUUGUUGAAAGUAAAUUUCGUCACGUGCAUAUACACCAAAGUUAUGUCUCAUGCAUUUUACACAAAAUUGACCCAAUCGGUUUGUGACAACCGUUCGAACCCCAUUUCCCCGAGAGAUAGACACUGCACUGCAGAUUUGGAUAAGAAUCUGGUCCAGCACUAAGCACAUUUAAAUAAAUAAAUAGAAACUCUUUCCACAAAAGUAGUGUAUUACGCCUACCAGCAACAGAGCGCCAUGGCUGUGGUGGUAGAAUUAAUUAUGAGGGUCGGCGGCUUAAGGGUAAUGUCACAAUAUUUUACUACAAGCAAAUUCACCUGCGGGGCUUUUGAACUUCCGUGUUUUAAAUAUCCAUACGUCACGAAACACGACAAGAAAACCUGGACACCAACAUUAAACUAAUAACAAAAAAAAUAAAAGAAUCCCAAAUUCGAUCUGAUAAUACGUCUAUUAUAUUAUAUCCCAAGCAAGAAGUUACUGCCAUAGUACUAUAGUAGUAUAAUCUUGGGAGUUUGGUGGUGGUGGUGGUGGUGGCGCUGUGGUGGUGGGCUGGUAAAUCGAGCUUCACCGUUUGUAUACCGUAUGGUUUUUUGCUUUGCGGAUGCAGAAAAGGACGCAGCAAGGAAGCCAGGAAGCCGUGGUUUUAGGCCGUUGAAACAGUAUAGAAUAUUGAAUUCUGGUCUAGUCUAGUCUACUAGUACCAGGCAGCAAGGCCGAGAAGAUAGGAGUAAGUAAUUACAAGCCAAAAGGAGGAAGAAAGAGAAAACCAGAGUAAAUUCGUUGUGCGGUUUGAAGAAAGGAGACAUGCCCGACUCCAUCACAACAGCAGCAACAACAUCUUCAAUCUUUACCAAAUCCCAAAGGUUCUUCUCCUAUCAUCUCAAUACUAGUGGCGCUACCAUUACUACUGCCAUUAACACUUUCCCUCUACUUCUUCAACUACUUUUCUUUUGCUUUUGCAUAUGGGUUUUCCAUUGUUUUAAGAAAUCUGCACGACUUAGUUUUUUUUUUUCUUUUUAUGUUGACCCUUCAUUACUGGCUAUUGUGGUUGUGGUUUCUGUGAUACUUAUACUGCCGCCGUUACUGUGAUGAUAUUAAUGGGCUAGUAGUUAAGUGCUGCAUGUUUCAUUGGUUAUCUGACUCCUUUUUUUCGUUUCCUUUUUUUGUCCUUUUCCUGCUUCUUGUUGUUUAACUCCUCUGGGAAAUAUAUUUUCUGGGUUUUGGUUGUUUGGAACCUUUCAAUUCAAAGCAUCCACUUUUAAAAUAAAAAUGGUACCUUUAGGCUUUCUGUGCCAUCCCUCGAGGAGUACAAGAAAAAUGGAAAAAAUAAGUCUUUUUUUUAAAAAAAUUUUUGAUAUAUCACUUACUUGUUUAGGAUGGUUGUAUUUAUCUUUCAUCUGAUUUUUUCUCCUCUAUGCUGUAAAAAGUCAGAACUUAUUUUUCUUUGGGGGCACUAUACUGCUUCCUCUCGUGCAGUGCUGGUUUCAGACGGAGUUAUUCACUAGUUCUCUUUAAAUCUGAUGGUUGGCGUAGUGUCUUGUUUUCAAUAAGUUCGUUAUCUUGUAAAUCCUAUGUGGUAUCUUAUAACCUCUGAUUUAGCUGACCAAUUUUUUUUUCCUUUUUUUGGGGGGGGGUUAAAAAAAAUGGGAUAUGAAGGAUGAACCUCUACCGUGAUACAUGUCAUGCAUUUGCAUUGUCUAGAAUUAUCAGAAUGUGAACUUCUGCUGAUUAGCAUUUGUUUUGUGUUGUUUUGCUGUAUGGCUGCAAGAAUUAGCUUUUCAACGUGUGGCCACUCUCGUAAGAAAAUAUUGAAUGCCUUUUGCCAUUCUCUGAAAAACACGUAUUUCAGCCUUCGGGAGGAUUCUGACAGCAACAUUUUGUGUGUGUGUGUGUGUUAUUAAUCUCCCUCUUUAUAUUAAACUGAAUCUUUGGAAAAGGAAAAAUGCAUUAUCCAUGAUUCAAAAAUGUAGAGGACAGGCAUAUCAGGUGAUGGUCCUAAUUGUAAUUGUCUUAGGAUAAUGUAAAUAAUCCUUGCUUGUUGAAUCAAAUACUUGUCAUUUGGAAUGUUAUUGUGGUUAAGGCUGUUGAGUCUACUACUUUGAUUUAACUAUUCUAAGGAAAUAUUUGCUUGGCCUUUUUUAACUUCAUCAGCAGGUAAACUGGUUGCAGUUAGUGCCGUAAAAUUAACAUAAGUUGAAAAUAGUUUAUUUAGCAAUUUUGGUGCACUAAGUAACAUUCGCAAUUCUGCAGAAUGCAGGACUUGCUGAAGGGGGAUGAUCUUAACAAUGCUCGCAUGAUGGCCCCAUGUGUUGAUGAUAGCCAGUCUUGGUGGACUUCUACUAACUCACAAGGGCAACAGUCAUCUCUGUCAAGAAAUUUAACUUUUAAAGCAGCAUCUCCAGUGGAAUGCUUUCAGGGUAAUAAGCAGUUGGGUUUUCACUUUCAAGAUCAAGAAUCGUCUUCCACUCAGUCAACUGGUCAAUCUUGCCCUGAAGUUGCUAGUAUGGAAAAUGAAAAAUACAGAAAAAAUAUUACAUCGGUUCAGCCAGGUAAAUUAAUUGAGCUUUUACUUUUUGUUUUGUUGAAGUUUAGUUCUACAUGUGCUAUCUAAAGCUGAAUAGAGAUGUUGAAAAGGAAGACAAAUUGAAUUUGUAAAAUCUGCUGUAGUGUAGUACAUAUUCUGAUUGGUCCUCUCAGUGAUGUUAACUAGUUUAUUAGCAAGUUGUGAAUCCAAUUGAUUUAGCAAGGUUGGUACUAGUUUAAAUAUCAAAUCACAACCUAAAAACUGUUGAGGAUAGAAAAGAAAAGAAAUAAACCAUAUUAGGACCAUGCAUCUUGCUACUUUAAAUAUUGCCUAAGUCAUGCAAAUGGAGAGGCAAUUUCGUUGUAGUGAACUUGUGGCCAACUUGCCAUCAGUCUCUGUAAAACAAUCUUAGUAUGCCUGGCUGCCUUUUUGUCGCAACAUAUGUCAAGAGAAACAAAUUUGUCAUAGACUAGUUCCAGUCUAUGAUUUGGUGGGUAUUACCAAUUUUGCAGUAUUCUUCCUUUUCUUCUUCCUUGGAACUAAGAUGCUUUUUCUUUAAACCAUGCUGUUUUUUUUUUCACCAGAGGUUUGAUGAAUGUGAUCAAUAUGUAAAAGCUUUGUUUAUGUUUGGGACAACUCAACGAAGCAUUUAUCCCAUGUAUAUGAGAUCAUAUACAGAAUAUGUUGUUUUCAUUUAGCUCUUUUUCUGGCUGGUCAUCUAGAUUCAUUAAUGCUUGCUCUAUAGAGACAAGAUCAUAUGUUUGCUUGCAUUCUCCUUUUUCAGAAUUUUACCAUUUAAUCAGGAGGUCAUUUUUUGCCAGCCAGCUUAUUCCUUGAAGUUCUUUUGCAAAUAUUUUUGUCAGCUUAAGCCAUUUUUUUUUAUUCUCUACUUAUCUCACUCUUAUUUGUGAAUGAAAUUAAUCAUUUCCUUACCUUCUCUUGCUAGAAUGCAGACAAAAUUCUAACUUGACUGUCACGCUCUUGCACCAUUAUCAUUCUUCUAUCCAAGCUUGGGUUUGGUUUUCUCCUACUACUAGUAACAAGCACAGAAAGAUCAUCAGACACUGUGCAUAUUAUGAUGGCAUUAUCUUACUUUGGUUAAACAAUGUGUUAAACAAACUGUUUAUGCUCAUAUACAUGUGCACAAUAUUAACUAAAUCUUUAUGCAUAGAAAUAGAUCACCAUCCAGUGCUGUGCUAAAGCAUUUUGAGAAUUGACUUAUAAAUUUACACUUUAAUGAGGAAACUUGGGAGAAAUUUCCUCCCAUGCACGUCUCACUUUAUGGUCUUUGUGCAUAGAGAAUUGGUGCUUCAUUUUAUGCUAAAAGCUCAUUUAUAAAAUGAUUAUAGUCAGAUGAGGUGAUUACUGUUUCUUGAGUGGUUUUAGAAAUGAUCGAAGUAUUAGAUACAAAACAUAUGUGCUUGUCAGUGUUACAAUCUAUAAAUGCUUUUAUUGGAUUUUCUGCUAUUGCUUGAUGAGCAGGCAAAUCGGAUGUCCAAAGUCAUACAAGGCAUGUUUUCUGUCAUUUAAAUCUCUUAUGUUAUAUUGCUUUAUUUUUCCUGAUGAAAACAAUUGUAAAUCAUACCUUUUGUUUUUGUGAACAUUCCUCACUUUCAGACAUGCUGUAUUAUCUUAGAGGAGUUAAUUUCAUACAAAACUUAAUAAACAAGAUGUUGAGCUUCCAAUUUGAUGUUGUCUGUCUAAACAAAAUAUGAACAUGCUUGUGCAAAAUGUGGGAUGGGAAGUCUUUUGUUCAUUUCAUACGGAUGUUUUCCUUUGACUACAAAGGAAUACUACUCGCAGUUGACAAUAUAUAAUGUUUUGAAAAGAAAGGUGGAACCUCUGGAAUCACUAUAUUAGGUAAAUUUGGAAAGAAAGUAGAGAAUGUAUGACAGUAAGACACCAGUACUUUUUAAAUUUUUUGCAUGUAAUCCGUUAGUUUUUGUUUUUGUCUUUGUUUUUUUUACUUUUUUUAAGUUUGGGUUGAGGUGCAACUGGUAGGUAAAAGCAUUCUAUGAAAGUGGAUGUCAUGAUUAAAAGAUCCCCUCUCGAAAACAAGACAUUUAAUUUGUAAAAAAGUGAAUAAAUGGAAUUUCUUCAAAUGAUAGCUCUCUACUUAUCGUCUUCCACUUUUGCAUUGAUCUUUAAUUGCCUGGUGUGUAAGUUUUUUAUUUUUUGUUUUAUAUUUUUGGUUUGUUCAGGCUGGUGUGGAUUGCAUGCAAAGCCUGAAGAGGACCCAAGUAAAUCAAGUGUUUUAUUUCAGGAUUACAUUUUUCCUUGUUCAUCAAUUGAUUACAGGCAACAUGUAAGUCAAUUGAUGUAGUUUUCUGACAUUUAUCUGGAGUAUUGGAUGAGCUUUCAAGUAGUGACAAUGUGCUUGUAUACUUUCUGUAGGCAACCUAUCCUUUUAAUUACACUGAUCCAUACAAUCAUGGGCUAGUUGCUGCUUAUGGCCCUCAUUCUGUGGUAAGUGCAACAACAGACUAUCACUCUAUCAUUGAUUUGAUGUAACUAAUUGGAGAUUAAUGUGUUAGUUGGCGUGAAUGUUUAAGAAUGCAUCCUUUUAAUUCAAACAACUAUAAUCAUUGUGGACAAGAAAGACUCUCCUCCCUUGGUCCUUUUUUCCCUCAAACUUCAUACCUUUGAACUUACAAAAUACAUGCAUAAUAAAGGAGAUAAAGCUUUCAGAUUCAUGGGGAGAUAAGGGGUGGCAGUAGAUUAGUAUUGGAGCUUGAUUCACUAUCUUCUUUUUUUUUUUUUUUAAAUGAUACUGUAUUCUUUACACUGCAUCUUUCUUCCUAUUUUUGUCCAUAUUCUUGUUUACCAGAUGUGUGUUGCCUACUGGAAAGCAUGGGUGAUAGAUAAAUAGGGAAAGUUACUAUGGUUGAGAUGAUUCUUCUAUUGGUCAAUGCCUGGGUCAUUAUCAGUGGUAGUAUAACUUGCUUCUUAAUUCUUCUUGGAGGUGGAAUAUGUGUUGAAGUGUUGCACUAGCUCUGCAAAAUUUUCAAGGUUCAGCACAUAGUCUACAAUAGUGCUAUGCCAUUUCAUUCUUUUUUUAACCUUUUUUCCCACUUUGCAUCUCCUUUCUUUUUAUGCUUAUGCUUUUCCUGUCCAAAAGAUUCUCCUGGAACAGAAAAGUGCUAUCUUUGAUAUUAUUCAAAUUAAUGGUAGCUUGUUUUUAGGAUCUAGACUUUCACCAAUACUGCAAAAUUAAUUGUGAUAAGAUGAGAUUAUCAUUGUUAACAUCACGAGCAUUUAAGCAACUAGGAAGUUGCCUAUUUUUUUUUUAUCAAGUGGGCUCUUUGGUUCUGGAUUCCCCAACCCAGGGGCUUGUCCUAAUGAUACUAUUCAUCUUUUGUGAAAUAGUUCUUGACCUGCACUGCUAUAUGAGAUGGAGAAAAUUUUUUGACUUACUGCCUAAGCCGUGUUUCUUGAUGAUAUACUUUCCAUUUAUAAUUGAUCAGGUACAUUCCCAAAUGAUGGGCAUGACACCUAUUCGUGUGCCGCUUCCUCUCGAUGCUGCACAAGAUGAGCCUAUAUUUGUGAAUGCAAAGCAGUUCAAAGCAAUUAUGAGGCGUAGAGAAUCGCGUGCCAAGCAAGAGGCUCAAAACAAACUGUCAAAAAAUCGAAAGGUUGGUAUACAGUAGCUUCUAUUUCCUCUCUGCAAGGGGGCAUGGUUCUACCACUGGUUGACCAGAUGCAUCAAAAAUUGGCUAAUAGUUUCUAUUUCUGAAAAAUGUGUUUAGCCUUAUCUCCACGAGUCUCGGCAUCGUCAUGCUUUAAAUAGAGCAAGAGGUUCUGGCGGUCGUUUUCUGAAUACAAAGGAACUGCAGGAGGCCAAGGCCGUUGCCAAGACCAAUGACAAAGAAACCUCCGGUUCCUUGCAGCUCCAGUUGAACAUGGAAACAACGGAACCUGAAGUUUGUCAGACAGGAAAUAAAAAGGAUGGGAUCUCCAUCACUGCCUGCUCGGACAUCACAAGUGCUUCAAAUGGUGAUGAUGCCCUCCAGCGUCAAGACUUCAGGUUCUCUGGGUAUCGACCUCAUGUUGGUAGUUUCGUAGCCAGUGGUGGGAGUGGUAGAACUGGUGGCGUUCAGCAGUUCCUCUCAAUCCGCUGAUGAGAUUGGAGAGUCAAACUUACAGCUGUCCAUGACUCGGCACUUCUCCGAGGAUAUGGCUGCUGGUAAAAGUGGGAAGUCAUCCUUGGCUGUUUAGUUUGGUAAUAUUGUAGUGCAUCUUCGCGUACAAAAGUAGCUUCAUUGCGUGCAUGGUUUCUGGAAGUUGUUUUUAAAACAAGAAGGCUUCAUCAGAAUGAUAUGAUGAGUGGCUACUGUUAUAAAUUCACUCAACUAUUUGCAAAAGAGCACUUCAGUUGCUAAUGGGUGGUAAUGCUUUCUGUUCAGGGUUUGAGGUUGAAAUGACGUAGUGGCUUUAAAGGCUUAGAGCCUGUCUGCUUACUCUCCCUGUUGGUUGGUCGUUUGGUAUAAAGAUGCAGCUUUCAAUAAAUGAUAGCAUGAAAAAAGAAUUAUGGUACCAAAAAAAAAAAAGGAGAUAAUCAAUAAAAAUUUGGCAUUGUUACUGUAAAAGAUUAUCAUAUUUUUGCCGUUCUAAUCAUUCAAAUUUGGUAUAUGGCUUGCUUGGGUACUCCUUUAUUGGCGAAAAUUUCUCAUCUGUAUUUUUCAGUUACUUUUUUAUUUUUUCAACAAACUCUUCAACUCACAUGCAUAAAUAGUAUUAUAAAAAAGUGCUAUAAUGUUAUUUUGAAAUAAUUUUGAAAUAAUCUUCUAUCAUAAAAAACAGCCAGCGUGCCAUAUUUCUUCUAAAAUGAUAGUUGUGUCAAAACUUGAAAAGAAGGGCAGAAAAAACCUACAUCACCCUUGAACUCUAAGUUUGUAAUUUUUAACCUUCCACCUAUUGAAUGAAUGCCUUUUCAACUCAACUACUAGGAGUACAUUUUUUUUUUUGUUUUGGUAAUAAAAGGGACUAUAUAAUGAAAAAACUUAAGUCAUAGGUGCAAAACGAGGGAAGCAAAUUCUUUUAAUAUCUGCAUCUACUAGAUUUCUCAAAUGAGGAGGGAAACUUUCAUAACACACAAGAUUGGUAUCUUACUGAACAUCCAGUUCCGUCAAUCUGUCACUACAUUAGUUUGCUUCUUGAUAAGCAAGUCUAAGUAUGACGUUCAGCAGAGCAAAGAUCAUGAACAUGCAAUCAGAGAUAAUUGAAGCAUACUCAUGAGUUGAGGUAUCAUGAAGAAGUACUAGGAGUACCUCGUUUAAGAGCAAAAUGUUUCAAUGACUCUCAAACUAUUAUGAAAUUCAACUUUAACCCUCAAACUAUUAAGUGAUAAGUUUUAGUCCUCUAAUUAAUUAAAACAUUUAAUUCUAAAAUUUUCGUCAAUUUGAGUCGUUAUGUUUAAUAAAGAUAAAGGAUUCAUGAGAUGUUAGGUGCCCUUAAACUAUUAUGAAGUUCAACUUUUGACCUUUCAAUUAUUAACUAUUAAGUUCUAACCCUCCAACUAAUUAAAAUAUAUAGGGAAAAGAGUCUCAAUAGCCCUCUAACUAUUAGCCAGAUGAACUUUUGGCCCUCCAAAAAUUAAGAGUAAAUUUUUUACCCUCGAUCUAUCGAAAGUGCAAAAUAUUGGACCUUCUGUCAAGUUCAGUCAUUAAGAUUGAUGGAAACUAACACCACAUGAAACUUAUGCUAAAAUAUGAAGGGCAUUUUAGUCUGUCUAGCAAUUUUCUAUUUGGUAAAAAGGGAUUUCUUCUCCAACAAAAGAAAAUCUCCCCGUCAGCUGAAGAGCUUCUACUCAAGUUUUUUGUUCCAUGUGGUUGCAGAUAAUUGAUUCUUUUUCUUUUUCUUCUUUGUUUUCUCCUCCAAAAGGAAUUUCUAGACAGAGAGUUUGAAUAAAUAAGUCAUUACCAGACAGAGAAAGUGACACUUCCAUUGUUGGAAUCCCACAAUUUGAGCAUCCAUUUUUCUUGCUUUCUCAUCUCACAAACUUCUCACUUUCUACUGCAGCUCAUUCUUCUUUGGCAUAAAUUAAGCAAUUCCCAAUAGUUGGUUACUAAAGCUGCAAGCUUUAGAUCUAUGAACCUUUCAUGCUCUUCCUUCAUUGUCAUGUGAUUGAAAGUUAUAAGAAUUAAGACGGAAUCACCCCCACUUAUGCAGCAGUUUAACUUCAAGGAACACCAUCGUCACGCUAUGUACUGUCUCCAUUAUUGUUGUUGUCAAGCAUUUUCUUUGACAUGAUAGCAGAAGAGAGGAGCCAGAGAUUGAAUAGCUUAAUUAUUUCUUGAAUUGACUUUGGUUGGGGGGAAGUGAGGAGGAGAAGUUGGGAAGGAGGAGGCUGUCCAUGUUGGAUUUGGUGGGGAAGGAGUGAAGGGAACAUCAUGUGGCAAUUAUGGUGGACUGAUGGGGCAGAGGCUAGAGAGAGCUUUAUGGAACCGGUAGAUACCAAAAGAUCAAGAAACCUUAACUUCAGCUAAAAUCAACACCAACUCAUCUUAGAAACAGAUCCAAUUCCUUCAUUCAUUGACUCAAAUCGCUCAAAAUCAACCAUUUCCUCUUGGUACUUGUAAUUCCCCAGCGGAAGCUUCAAGAGAUGUGCACUGGUGAUGAUGGUCGACGAAUUGCAGAAGCUUCCAACCACUUGUGGUAGGGGGAGAAAGAAUGGUAAAAGGCAACAAUUAAGUUACACUGAUUUUUACUCCUUUUUACUGAGUGGAUGACAGCUUGAACUAAAAUGCCCAUUGUAUUUCAGCAUGCAUCUCACGUGGUGUUGAUUUCCAUUAGUUUUAACAACUGAACUUGACAGAAGGAUUAACUUUUUCACUUACGACAGAUCGAGGGUCAAAAUUUGACUCUUAAUUAUUGGGGGGGCCAAAAGUUCACAUGGCUAAUAGUUAGAUGGCUAUUGGGACUCUUUUCCCAAAUAUAUAAUUCUAUCGUUUUCUAUCAACUUGAAUCGUUAUAUCGAAUAGAAACAUCUAUUGAUAAAGAAUUUGGACUAUGUCCAACCAAGUGUUUGAUAAAUUAAGAAGGUUUAGAUACAGUGAGGUAAAGUUUAGAGGAAUUUCAUAAAAGAAUUGAUUGUUUGAAAAUUUUAGAAAAUUCAAAAUUGAAAGUGAACCAAAACUUGUUGAAAUAUUCCCAAAAAAUGAAUUGUAUGCUAGGUUUAUGCCAUUAAGAGAAGCACAUGAACCUAAUGAUUGUGGAACAACAUCAAAAAAUGAGUUAAAUUAUAAAUGAAGACAAAUCAAUUAAUUCAAGUUGCCUAUUGUUACUAGAAUUUCUCCAUUCAGGGUUUUGGGUUUUACGUUUUCAAAUGAUUUUGGUCAAAUUCAGUAAUUGAAGAUUUGGUAAAUUAAUUUAUGAGUCAAAUGGGGUAAAAUAAUUUUACUCUAACACACGUUCUGUGAACACGAAAACACUCAUCAAUUAUGCCCUCAUCACACAUGUGGUGAUGUUUUUGUUUGAUGUAACGACUCAAAUUGACAGAAAAAUUAUAAUUAUAUGUUUUAAUUAGUUGAAGGAGUAAAAUUUAUCAAUUAAUAGUUGGAGAGUCAAAAGUUAAAUUUAUAAUAGUUUGAGAGCCACUGCUACACAUGUCAUACUAACACAGCAGCGCAAGUUAACGAAAGGGUUAGAAUUAUAUGUUUUAAUUAAUUGAAGGGUUAAAACUUAUCGAUUAAUACUUAGAACCAAAAGUUAAAUUUUCUAAUAGUUUGAGGGUCAUUGGAACAUUUUGCCCUCGUUUAAUGUAACGUAGUAAUAUGUGUCUGCUGUUACGUUUUUCCUUCUUCUCUCUCCUUAAAAAAAUAUAUAUAUAAAAAACAAGGACUGUGUUGUGCUAGACCGACUUACGGGAGCUUUGACACUGUAUUUUGCAUUGGGUUGGCAGUUUGGGCCACAGGAGGAUUCAUGGACCCGAAAUCUGUAAGAAAACUCAAACCCACAGACACAGAGGGACCGCAUUCUACGUAAAGAGAGCCCAAACUCCAAACCUCAUAGGAAAGCGGGUUCUGGACUCGGACUCAUCUCUCGUCCCUCAAAUCUAGUUAAACCCGACCACAUUCUUCAGAUUCAAAUCCGCUGGCUCAGCCUCAGCAGUCAGCAGUCAGCCAGCCAGCCCUCAGCCGUCAGCUCCGCUCCUCAAAAAUAAAAAAUAAACAAAACAAAACAAAACCUCGCUUGAAAGACCACCUGCCUUCCUUCGUUACGCCAUUCCCUUAAUUACUAAUAACUGGUGCUUCUACGAAAAUUUCCAGCUUUAGAGCCUCCUACUUUUCUUGCUAAAAUUUUCUUCUCAUUUUCCAUUUUCUACUCUUCUUUAAAAUCCCAACAAAACCCUCCCCACUUUUCCCAUUUGCUUCUAACUGCUACUCUGGAGUACUAGUAGUAGUUUUCGGGGAAAGAAUAGGAAAGGUUGAAUUUUGUAAGUGUGUCGUAUAUUCUUGAAAAUGGACGGAGGCUACAAUCCGCGAACUGUAGAGGAGGUGUUUAGAGAUUUUAAGGGCCGAAGAGCUGGUUUGAUUAAAGCUCUUACCACUGGUUCGCUCCUUCUGCCUGCCUCUCUCUCUCUCUCUCCCCCCUAAUUAAGUAUGUUUUUUUUGUAAAGUUUGCUUCUUCUUUUUUUCCUCUCUUUUUAACUUUCCGCGUGUUGUUUAAUUUUUGUCGCAGAUGUUGAAGACUUCUACCAACAGUGUGACCCAGGUAUGAGUUCUUGCUUCCUCUACCUAAAGUUAGUUAUAAAUGCCAGAAUUUUCAGGUUUUUGCUGUCACGGUGCUAUGUUAAAAUUCAUUAGCUGGGGUGGGAAGGGGAAGGAGAAUUCAUGCGAUGAGGCUUGAACCCUUGUUUAGACACGAAGAAUAAAGACUUUUGACGCAUGUCCGCUUUCUUACAGUUUUAUGCAAUUUACAUAUCCCGCCAAAAGGAAAAAAAAAAGAAAAAGAAAAAGAAAAGGAGAAGAAGAUGUUAUACGCUCAGAAUACGCAUUAUGGACUUCGUGAGAAAGGUUGGAAGUUUAAAUUUUGCCAUUGAGCUGGAAUCGGUUGUUAGAAAGGGGAGGCAGCAGUGGAAGAAAGCAAUGAAUUUAGUUUUUGGAUGGUUGUUCUUCCCUUACCCACCCCCUCCCCCAAAAAAAAAACACAUAUGUGUGUCGAUUGUAUUUCAAUUGUGUGUUGCAUGUUUUCAGGAGCGUUUUUCUCAUGCUUGACUCUUUUAUUGGCUCUUGGUGUCUUGUGGGAACGGCUGCUAUUUUGAUUUUUAGUUGUUGAAAUCUCCAUGUGCAACGGCAUAUCUAGUUUAAGAACGAUGAUCUUGGAGGAGAACUCUAUCGAUUAGCCUGUCUUUUUCAAAAUUUAUGGUGGUUCCUAUCGUGGCUGAUGUGUUAGUCUUCUUAUUUGAAAAGCAGAAAUUGCUAAUGUCAAUUAUUCUUUGACAGUAGUGGAACUUAAAUCCCAGUUGUUGUAUUUAUGUUGUUAGGCAUGUUUAUGAAACAAUGUCAUCUCCUUGUUACUGUGUGUGACUAUUCCCAUAGAAGUAUUGAGGUUAAAGAUUUUCAUAAUUGUAGCCUUGUCUGUUCUUUUGUGCUUUUUCUUCAUAUUAGGUGGUCUGUUGCUUACUCGGUAUUGAAGAGGCUAUGAAUUGAAAUUGCUCAAUCACGAUGACUGCCAAACUCAAUUUUAUAGGUCCCUUUUAUCUGUGCAUGGGUUUUUCUUUCUAUUUUUUAUUUGUUGGAUAUAGACAAUCAUAUCUUGUUCUUCAAAGGAACUUAUCUAUCCGCGGCCCUAGUCCUUGCCUUUAUGUUUUAGCUUUAGGUUUAUGUUUUAAAUUUUUAAUAAAUGUCUUGUAAUUAAAGCUUUGGCAUGUUACCUUGACAUGGAGUCUACUAUUCUUCUGUGUAUAUUACACGGGGUAGUCAGCCGUGUAAUUUGCAUUUGGUCUAUUUUUUUUUUCUUGGUGCAUGAGAAUUAUUGUAAUAGUAAGUUUAACUUUUGAAAUGUAUGGGUGUAGAGAAAGAGAAUUUGUGCUUGUAUGGUUUCCCAAGUGAGCAUUGGGAGGUCAAUUUGCCUGCAGAAGAAGUUCCUCCUGAGCUACCUGAACCAGCUUUGGGGAUCAACUUUGCUAGAGAUGGUAUGCAAGAAAAAGACUGGUUAUCUUUGGUUGCUGUCCACAGUGAUGCAUGGUUGCUGGCCGUUGCCUUUUACUUUGGUGCUAGAUUUGGGUUUGAUAAAGCAGACAGGUACGUGUUUAUUGACUUCUUGCUUUCAUCAAAGAGCUUAAAGCUUUUGCAAAUUUUAACAGCUAGCAAAUUCAUAGAUUUCAGACUUCCAAAAUAUUUUAAGUGGUUCGUGGACUUUUAGUUUCUUGGGGUAUACAAUAAACUCAAUAAUAUUUCAGUUGUUAGCAUCUAGCUGUAUAAUAUUGUUUGGAUUUUGUCAGUUUAAUCUUCUAGCCUUUGAGUAUCAUUCAGCCAAUGGUUAUUUGCUGACCUUAGCUGCUUACCCUGCAAAGAUUCUAAACUUGCAAAAAGGCAACCAGUGAAUUUUGUUGAGCAUAAAGAAUUUUAAAUAGGCUAAAGUUUAUGCUCAUGUCCUGAUUAUAAUUCAGGUAUACUUUGCAAUGCCACAGACAAUAUCGUAUUUGUUUGAUGUAGACAAUUGACUACCUUCUGGUGGAUUCACUUGGUUUCUCAUAAAUAGCUGCUGGGGGAGCAAAUUCAAAAUGGUACAUUGCUCUCCACUGUCUUGAGUUUGGGCGCUUCAUUCGCGGAUGCAUGUCAAUUUUUUAUUCUCUGUUUUUUUUAACAAGGAAUAAGUUUUCAUCUGUAGUUAGUGUCACCUGGGAAGAAUUUCUAUCCACUGUAUUACCACCUUCUCAUGGCUGAUGUGUUAUCAAAGGGCCAAAUUUUAUUUUUGGACUGUAGGUGAGAGUGGUUACCUCACACAUUCUUAUUAUCUGAAGGGGCUAAAUAGACAAGGACAAAGGCGCUGUUCGUGGGUGAUCAUUAAUCAAAAGUUCAUGUAGAUACAUAUUAGGUUCCUCGAAGAUUUGAAUUUUGAUGCCAUAUUGUUCAUAUCUUCACUUCAACCACCUUUUCAGCCAAGUCAGCAUGCCCCUUGCUUGAAAUGUUAAAAUUCGUUUGACAUAAUCAGAGAAUUAUAUUAGAAUGUUCAUCUGAAAAUGAAACUAAGCUGCUUAUCAGAUUUCUUGUAAGUCCCUCAUUAUAGUAGGUUCUUUUGAGGUUGCAUUGCAUGUGUUGCUUGAAGGACAGUAGCAGUUUUGCUUCCUUAAGUAUUGACAAGCUGUAUUGCAGUCUUCCUGAUCUUCAGAAGCAGCAAAUUUUGCUCUCAUAUUCUUGAUCCUGUACUCGAUGCUACACAUCAUUUCAGUUUUGACACAUUGAGUCUCUGCUGUAACCAGCAAGAUGCCUGAAAUAGCAUGAGAGACAAAUGUGAAGGACCAAAUAGUGGAAGUUGAAACAUUUCAGUAAAUUGGGAUGACACCAGUUGUUGGAUAUUGAAACAUGGGGGACUAAGUUGUGAUUGGUUUUAACAUGUAAACUAAUAUCCUUUGACUGAUUAUUUUUAUCUAUCCAUGUCUUUUGCUGUAGGAAACGGCUUUUCAGUAUGAUAAAUGACCUUCCUACUGUAUUUGAAGUUGUCACUGGUGCUGCCAAGAAACAACAGAAAGAGAAAUCUUCGGCACCAAAUCACAGUAGUAGCAAACCCAAGUCAAAUUCCAAAAUGGUAGAGUUGGAUUUUCUGGUGAUGGCUUUAUUUUAUUUUAUUUUUGGAUGUUUAAUAGCAUCUCCAUCAUUUUCCUUUCAUCUUCCUGUCACUUUAAUGUUCUUGACCUGCACUCUAAGUACAUUCCUUUCACUUUGAAAUAAUGCUUUGGAUGCUGGAUUCUUAAUCCUUUGCACAACCAUUUCUUACAUGUCUGAAAUGCUCUUCACUUUUUAUGUGACACAAGCUGCUGGCAUCUGUAUCGCAGGGAAAAUAUUCAAAGUCACAGCCUAAGGAUGAGGAUGAGGUAUUAGACGAGGAAGAUGAAGAAGAGCAUGGUGACACCUUGUGUGGUGCCUGUGGUGAGAAUUAUGCAUCGGAUGAGUUCUGGAUAUGUUGUGAUAUGUGUGAGAAGUGGUUCCACGGCAAGUGUGUGAAGAUCACCCCUGCUAGAGCUGAGCAUAUCAAGCAGUAUAAGUGCCCAUCAUGCAGCAAUAAGAGAGCUCGCACUUAAUGAGUGAUGUAACGUAGUAUUCAUCUACUUUCAGCCUCUUGAUGCGCUCCGUCUUGUCUAAGCGGUUAGGUUGCUUCUGUGUUUCGGAGCUGUAUGUAGAGCUAACCUGUGAGUUCAUACUUUUUUCUCCAGGAUGACAUUAUUUUGUGCUGUGGUGUUGCCAUUUUGUUUGUACUUUGGCUAAUUUAGUCCCCGAUUUACUGCUAAAAAGGGUUACAUUCUCCUAAUUUUAGUGCUAGGGAGGCAGGAGCAUUUUGUUGAUGUUCUCCUGUUGGGAGUUUUGACUGUCUCUCCUUGCAGAUGUUAGAUCACCAUUUCUCGACUCUGGAAACGCGCGCCGUUAGCUAUUAGUCUUUUUCUCCAUAACAAAUGAUCGUACCGUGUCUCAGAUUCAUGUCCUUAGCUCUUAGUCUUCUCUCCAUAGCUCUGGCUUCCGUUGGUUAAAGCGCACAUUCUAGACAGGUGAAAACUGACCGAGUAACUUGCCAAUCGUUUCGAACUCACCUAAAAAGAUCGGCGGACGGCGAAGAAAUACAUGGCAUCGAACUGACAAAAAAUCUUUUUCAUCUGGCAAUGUACCUCUGCUGCAUGCCCAAAAUGGAUUGUAGUGCAAAAUUGGAAUUAAGCGAGUCUCGCAUCUCUGCUUGUAAUUAUGGUUUUACCGAAUGUUUACAAGGUUCGAAGAAUCAUCGGCGCGGGAGGAGAUGAUCCCGGUGUGCCGGACGGAAGGAGGCCCAGUGGUUCCAUAAAAUAAUUUGUGGAUUGUUAUGCCUGGGACAAACAUAAGACACUUGCCAUACUGGACCGUACAAAAGUCUCUUUCAUAACCCUUGAUGCCUUGUCCAACAUCCAUCCAAAUACUAAAAAGCUAAACAUUUAACCAACGUAAGCAACAAAAUGCUCUUUAGCCAUUUAUUUAAAGCAAGCAUCUUGAUUCUGAUAAGUGAUCGGUUUCGCAGUACAGUUCUGUAAUCAGUGCACGAAAAAGAUUUAACCAUGGACUAAUCAGUGCCCAACUCCAUUCUAUGGUUUUAGUAUUUGGCUAUUAUCCAUAAAGACUGAAAAGAAGCAAUCCCUCCACGCAAAGGGAGCUCACAUUUUGGCAGCCACUUCCGAUCGACUAGAGCGAAGCUGGAAAAACUGACUUUUAGCUAAUAGAGGGGACCUCCCAGUAAAGAGUUUCGAGUUCCCAAAAGUUGUGGAAUAUACUCCAGAAAAUGCAUCAUGAUGCAGGAAGGUAUGUGUGUGGGAGUCGAAGCAAAAAAAUGGUAUGUACGUUAAAGUUGUACGCAUAACGAAACUAGCAGCUGCACACAUAAGACUGCCAUUUUGGUUAGGGUGAAGAGUUCUAGUUCAAGCAACAGCAGGAAAUAGAGACAACUUCAGACUUCAAAACAACCAAAAGAUUUAACAUUGCAUUAGUUGAAAAAGGAGAAGACAAAACUAAGCUUAUGCCCUGUUUGUUUUAUUUCGUAAUUCGUAUGUUCAUCAUGUCAAACCCUCUUGAUUCUUGGCGGAAAGCCGUUUCAAGAACUCAUAGGUAGUUAUCAUUGUGGUGGCAGACAUGGACAUUGAAGCCCAUCGUGGCCACAGCCCUCUGUAGCAAGCCAUCAAACCACCUUCUCUUACCAAAUUCCUGAACGUGUGUCCAAUGGUUGGCCCCUUUCGGCCAUUUUCGUCCCCAUCCAGAACCUGCAAUCUGGUCUUUAUGGUAUCCAAAGGCAUAGUAAUCACCGCGGAAACUCCUCCAGCCAUGAAUGCACUGACCCCUUGAACAGCUAUUACAGUUUUACAAUCAGGCCUUAAAGCACUAACACCAUUUUCAAACAUAUCAUCAUCUUUCUUGCACAAGUAAAAUCCAAUUCCAUCCCAAACCAGCCUCUGAGCAACAGAGUAGGAUGCCCACCAAACUGCAUUAGAAGGAGCAUAAGUCAAGAUCGAAAUCCCAAAUCCCCUGUAGAGUCCUCUGAGUCCAUCCGAAUUUAGGAUCUUCCUGAAGGCAUCAAUUCCAUUCAGAUACUUGGUCGAAGAUAACGAAUUACUAAAUUUGUGUCGAUUACCACCUUGCACCAUAAGGCGCUGGCUCACCACAUCAAUUGGGGUCCAAACCAUUUGUGCAGCCACUGCAGCACUUAAUCCAGCAGCAGCAUUAGCCAUAGCAGCUGCAGUCGAGUCUGGAAAGCCAACUUUAAUAGCAGUAGUCCCCACAUUACUCUUGGUAAUCUCCAAGACGGCCAUGUAUAAUGCCCUGGCGGGGAUUGUACCCAUUAAAGAAGUCCCAAAUCCUCUAUACAAACUGCGAAACCCCUCGUGUCUAACAAUCCAAAACGCAAUCCUAAUGGUAGAAACUUGAGAUUGGGCCACCUGUUGCCUGGUUUUUAACACCACUAUAGGAUAAAGAGUAGCUGAAACACCGGAAAAAAAGGCAGCUCCGAGGAAGAAAAACUUGGAUUUAUCCAGCAUUUUCCAAUCUAUAUCCGCUGGAAUUUUUACUUCUUGGGACGAUUCUUCUUCUUCUUCAGCAGCAUCCAAACUCAUCUUAGCCACUUUCAAAAAUCCCACUUUUUUUUUUCCCUGUCAACUACUGUUGCUCAAAAAAUUUUCAUUCUACUAACUUGACCUCCAUCUCUAAUAUGUCUAUGAAAACAAGUACAAACCCAUAUCCAUUAGAUCAUCAAACAUCUUAAAACCAACAAAAAUAUUAUUGUUACUAUCACACAAAUCCCAAAAAGUCUGGUCUUUAAAGAUUUUUUUGGAACUGCAGUUACUGCAAGCUCAGAAAAAAGAUCAAAACUUUAUCUGCUGCUGGAGCUACUACUAUUCACAAGUGCAGGAGAAAGUUGAGGUCAAAAUCCAAAGAGGGCCCUUUUUUUUCCUCUUGCGAAGCCAUUUUUGGGAUCUAACGUGAACAAUAGCAUACGGGUCUAACAUUUUUGGAUGGCUCUAACCGGCAAAAAAAGGUACAUCAUCUUCGACGGAAACGAAACGGUAGACCUGAUUAUAUCAAUACUACUGGAGGUAUCGGAUCUCGGACUUGUUCAGAAACUACAAUGGAAAUAAGCGGCUUAGAGGAGGAGAGAAUAAUCGGCAAGACCGAAAGGCCUGUUGGCGGAAGGUAGUGAGAGCGAGACGGGAGUGGAGGAUGAAGAGAAAGGCUGAGGAUUUUACAUUUUAUUCUUUUUAAUUGUUUGCAUCAUCAUUGCACGAAUAUACGAGUACUAAACAAGAGAGAGAGACGGGGGAAUGAAGCCUCAUGAUUGCCACGUGCAGCUGUCGGAUUGGUGUAAUAAAAUUUAGUUAGAGGGUUGGUUUGGUCUUUUCAAAGAGGUAGUGGGUUUGUUUGUCUGUACUGCGAUCUGACAAAGACCUGCGGAUGACUGGCCCACCACUUCUGACGCGUGAACCGUAUCCUAGCCGGACUCACACCUGGUGCCGGCGGGAAACGUUGGCAGGAGCGGUCAUCAGAGCGAUCGUUCUCGAGCUGUUAAUGAUCAUGAUUUGUUCUCAAUAAAUUAUGCGGUUCAGAUCAUAUAAGUUGUGUAUCGAUUUUCAUAUCGUGUGUGAGACCUAUAAAAUUUUGUAAUAAAGUUAUACACUAUACAAAUAAAGUUACGUAAUGUCAUUGUCAAGGUUCAGAUUUACCGUAUGUAUUUUCUUGUUCUAAGUACAUGCAGAGUAUAAUUCAAGAAAAAUUUGUAAUUGCUCGUAAAACUUAAGACUAAUUUCAAAAAGCAAGAGCUUCCGCCCAGUUGGAGAAGAUCCAAUCAUCAGGGAGAGUCUUUUUUUUUUUUUAAACUUUGUCACUCUCUCCGUCCCACUUUGAUAGUCCUGUUUUUCUUUUUCGUCUGUCUCAAAUUGUAAUCCUAUCUCCAAUUGAAGAAUGUAGUUGUAUUCUAAUUUUCGUAAAAUACCCUUAUGCAAUGUAAGUUGUUGUUACUAUAAACAUACCCUAUUUUAAUGAGAGUUGAUUCUUUUUUUAUCAUCAAUUCAAAUUCUCAUAAAGUUGUACUCCAAUUAAUGUGAGGUAUUUUUUUUUAUCAUCAAUUCAAAUUCUCAUAAAGUUGUACUCCAAUUAAUGUGAGGUAUUUUAGGAAAAUAGCUACCUAAAUUGAUUGUUCCAAUAAAGUUAACUAUUUUUUCUUAAACUGUGUGAAAAAAAACCAGAACUAUCAAAGUGAGACGAAGGAAGUAUAUACUAGGUCGGAAGUUUAAACCCUAUUUGUUUAGUGCAUCACACAAGAAUUGUAUUAUUUCUUAUAUUUAAAAAAUUCAAAGAAUAUAAUAACGCUGUUGUGUGAUUUGAUACUCUAUCUCUUAACCUCCACACGAUUCUCUUUAAACUCUCCAUAAAGUAUAUUUAACUCCAAUUCACGCCUCCUCAGGCUCCCUCCCUAUAAACUUUCCCCGUAGAGUGUAUUUAAUCCUAAUACGAGUCUAUUUCAGCUCCCUCCCCAUAAAGUAAGAAUAUAUUAGGUAGUUGCCGUUACAAAAAAAAGAGAAAAAAAAAAAAAAACUA